CUGCAUGUACCGUAUGAAUAAGCAUCGGCUAACUCCGUGCCAGCAGCCGCGGUAAUACGGAGGAUGCGAGCGUUAUCCGGAUUUAUUGGGUUUAAAGGGUGCGUAGGCGGCCUGUUAAGUCAGCGGUGAAAUCUAGGAGCUUAACUCCUAAAUUGCCAUUGAUACUGGCGGGCUUGAGUGUAGAUGAGGUAGGCGGAAUGCGUGGUGUAGCGGUGGAAUGCAUAGAUAUCACGCAGAACUCCGAUUGCGAAGGCAGCUUACUAAGGUACAACUGACGCUGAAGCACGAAAGCGUGGGUAUCAAACAGGAUUAGAUACCCUGGUAGUCCACGCAGUAAACGAUGAUAACUGGGCGUAUGCGAUAUACAGUAUGCUCCUAAGCGAAAGCGUUAAGUUAUCCACCUGGGGAGUACGCCGGCAACGGUGAAACUCAAAGGAAUUGACGGGGGCCCGCACAAGCGGAGGAACAUGUGGUUUAAUUCGAUGAUACGCGAGGAACCUUACCCGGGAUUGAAAUGUAGAUGACCGCUCCUGAAAGGGAGUUUUCCUUCGGGACAUCUAUGUAGGUGCUGCAUGGUUGUCGUCAGCUCGUGCCGUGAGGUGUCGGCUUAAGUGCCAUAACGAGCGCAACCCCUGUCUACGGUUGCCAUCAGGUAAUGCUGGGAACUCCGUAGAGACUGCCGUCGUAAGGCGUGAGGAAGGUGGGGAUGACGUCAAAUCAGCACGGCCCUUACAUCCGGGGCGACACACGUGUUACAAUGGUAAGGACAAAGGGCAGCUACCUGGCGACAGGAUGCGAAUCUCUAAACCUUAUCACAGUUCGGAUCGGAGUCUGCAACUCGACUCCGUGAAGCUGGAUUCGCUAGUAAUCGCGCAUCAGCCAUGGCGCGGUGAAUACGUUCCCGGGCCUUGUACACACCGCCCGUCAAGCCAUGGGAGUCUGGAGUACCUAAAGUCCGUAACCGCGAGGGUCGGCCUAGGGUAAUACAGGUGACUGGGGCUAAGUCGUAACAAGGUAGCCGUACCGGAAGGUGCGGCUGGAACACCUCCUUU
rnacentral:ncRNA from 1 species